UACGUAGGUGGCAAGCGUUGUCCGGAGUUAUUGGGCGUAAAGCGCGCGCAGGCGGUGCGGUAAGUCUCUGGUGAAAGCGCUCGGCUUAACUGGGCGAGGGCCGGGGAGACUGCCACGCUGGAGGGGAGCAGAGGCGAGUGGAAUUCCGGGUGUAGUGGUGAAAUGCGUAGAGAUCCGGAGGAACACCAGUGGCGAAGGCGGUCUGCUGGGCAGUUUCUGACACUGAUGCGCGACAGCGUGGGGAGCAAACAGG
rnacentral:rRNA from 1 species